UAUGUACUCCCUCCGUCCGAAAAAGCUUGUCCCAAACUUGUCCCUCAAAUGGAUGUAUCUAGCACUAACUUGAUGCUAGAUACAUUCAUUUGAGGGACAAGUUUCCGGACGGAGGGAGUAGUAA
rfam:Triticum aestivum genome assembly, contig: Triticum_aestivum_CS42_TGACv1_scaffold_148226_2BS